AAUGAACGUUGGCGGCGUGGAUUAGGCAUGCAAGUCGCGCGAGAAGUCUUUUGCUUGCAUUAGACGGAAAGCGGCGAAAGGGAGAGUAACGCGUGGAUACCUACCUCCAGGUCAGGGAUAGCUGCGGGAAACUGCAGGUAAUACCAGAUGAUGUCCCCGGACCAAAGGUGCAAUUCCGCCUGGAGACGGAUCCGCGUCCUAUUAGCUAGUUGGUGGGGUAACGGCCUACCAAGGCAACGAUGGGUACCGGGCGUGAGAGCGUGACCCGGCUCACUGGGACUGAGACACUGCCCAGACACCUACGGGUGGCUG
rnacentral:rRNA from 1 species